rnacentral:rRNA from 1 species
GACAGAGGGUGCAAACGUUGUUCGGAUUUACUGGGCGUAAAGCGCGUGUAGGCGGCUUGGCAAGUUGAAUGUGAAAGCCCACGGCUCAACCGUGGAAGCGCAUCCAAAAACUGCUUCGCUCGAGUCUCGGAGAGGAAGGUGGAAUGCUUGGUGUAGAGGUGAAAUUCGUAGAUAUCAAGCAGAACACCUGCGGCGAAGGCGGCCUUCUGGACGAUGACUGACGCUGAGACGCGAAAGCGUGGGGAGCAAACAGG